rnacentral:rRNA from 1 species
GACAGAGGGUGCGAGCGUUGUCCGGAAUCACUGGGCGUAAAGGGCGCGUAGGUGGUGGCUUAAGCGUGCGGUGAAAGCUCGGAGCUCAACUCCGAGUCGGCCGUGCGAACUGGGCUCACUGGAGCAUAGUAGAGGCAGGUGGAAUUCCGGGUGUAGCGGUGGAAUGCGUAGAGAUCCGGAAGAACACCGGUGGCGAAGGCGGCCUGCUGGGCUAUGGCUGACACUGAGGCGCGACAGCGUGGGGAGCAAACAGG